AGAAAUGUUGUCCACUUUAGCUCUUACGAAGCCCUCCACUUGAUCACAAAUCUCUUGGAGAGGGUGUUUGCGCGUCCAAAUGACAGUUUCCAUGCCUUUGCUGCAACACCAUCUAGCGUCUUUUUUAACCCUAAAGGGGUCGCAUAUUAAGACUACCCCUGCUCUCUGCUCUAUUGACAUCUGAGUAAGCAGGACCUGUGCUGCUUCGCAGUGGUUUAAGUCAUCUCCUUUCGUCACUCAGAGCUCUCUUGAAAACUGGGCAUCUACCGCUGCCCGCAAUGUGCUGAAAAUUGGACUCCCCCCUGGCUUUGCAGGGCAUGCAUUCUGGGUCCUUGCUACAUUCCUUCGCGAUGUGGCCUUCCUCGCCGCACUUUCUACACUGUUUUGAACGAUCUGCUUUGUUUUUGCAGUUUCGCCGAAUGUCUUGUUAAUAUUAGGCGACAGUUUACUCAGCCCACUUUGACUCGUCCAGCAGCGAGAAUUUUAUUCGCCUCUGUUUCUGUCAGGCUUAGAACUUCGGUCUGUGUUCCAUUGAACGCCUUUCGUAUAUUUACUACCUCUGCAGUUGAUGCCUCAAUGUCGAAUUGAUCGCAUAUUGCGCUUAUGAUAUCUUCUUUGGUAGUGAUCUCGUCGAUGUCUUUACACUCGAGAACUUUUUUUUUGUGUUAGGCUCCGUACCGCCUCUCGUUCUCCUAGUGUAUUGCCUAUUAUUGAGGUGAACUCCUUGGUUUUUUCACCCGCAUUUGAUAGCUGGAUGAGUAUUUCACCCUUUUGCGUUCGCCUUAUUUUUGAGACCAUUUUACCAAGUUCUCCGAAUUUGGGGUCGGAUUUUACUGACUUCAGUAUUUCCGCAUAGGAAGUUUCGUCUUUCGCUUCCAUCACUAUCGCGUCAGGUCUAACUCUCCUUGGUCUUGCAUCCUUUGGCUUGGUUUUCUUAGCCACUGUUCUCCACUGAGUUGCAUCCACUUUUUGAGUUUUCCUCCGUGUGGUGUAGGUAGAUGGUGUUCCGGUAACUUGCUGUACGCCUGUUCUAUUCUUCUCCAAGUUGGUCCACUAAGGUUUUGUAGUCAAAACCGCACCAUCCAGUUUCCUCUUGGGGUCUGGGUUGCGCCUUAGCCAUGGGGAUGUUUGUGAACCGCUGCUUUUCCUUAUUACCUUCUUGGCUUUUUGGUCUCCCGCUCAAUGGUUGCCAGCUCGUAUAGUGCCUUGAUACUCUCUAUGGCAUCUCUCAUAGACUGGUGUAUAGAGCGCCUUUUGCCAUCCUUCAGCAUUUCAACUAGGCUACGUAUUUUCUUGCCUAGCCCGCAGAAUGUCGUUCGCUUACUAUCCGCGCUGUCCACGAUAUUACCUUUCAUCGCCUCAGUCUCAUUUUCGCGCGAUACAGCAGCAAGAACGAGAGAUCUGAGAGCUUUUGAUGUCCUCCGGAAUGCGUUGGCUUCCCCUAAUCCGACCUCAUUAUCUCUACUGCCGUUAUUGCUGCCGCUUUUUUCUUCUGAUUCAUUCCCACUUAAUAAUGUUGUGGUUUUAGUUGUUGUUUUUGUAUGUAGUUGUGUCUCCAUUUUCAAAGGUUCCCCACUCAGGUCCGUUAUCUCUAAUCGUAAUGUAGUUGCCUUAUGACCCCAUGGUUGUCUAUACUAUGUAGGGAGGCCAUGCGAGGGUUAACACAUGUCUCGAGGCGCUGAAAAAGCCAUUGUCCGCGAGUGGGCUAAAAUACCUGCAGGUCACAUUCGGGCAACUUGUAAUUCGUUUCUGACCGUCUGAAGGCCAUAGUCAAGGCAAAAGGUGGUCAUAUCGAGCAAAAGUAAAUUGAUUCUUAAUUUUGUAUUAUUUUCAGACAUUUUUUACUUUGAAUUAAAUAAAAGUAAAUUUCCAAACUAAAUCUAAUUGGUUAAACUUCGAGUGCUGGACCCUACUUAGGGAGUACUAGAGUGGUACUUCAACCAUUUCACCUACCUAUCUAUCUGCCCCGGUCUAGAUGAAUGCCGCCUUCUGCCAAUGCUAUAAGUUUCUAAUCACGGAGUGUCUGUCAUGAAUUCAUUUUCUUCUAAUGACUACUACCCGCAUAUAUAUAUUAAAUAGAACCAGCCUAGUCUGGCUUUUAUUGUUUGACAUCCACUGCUAAUUUUACCAACUCACAUAAAUAGCUAAAGAGGAAAUGUUAGGCUUGUAGAAUUAGCAACACGAGGGGUCAGUGUGAGUUGGUAUAUUCCAAUUCUUUGUUGGGCAGCAUUUUUGUUUGAACUUUCUCCCACUUGCGCUUUGUACCACAUUUCCUCGACCUCAACUCACUUCUGCGGCAAUGAGGGAGUACAGCCGUUAUUGCUACUCCGGUUGCUGAUGUUUAUGCAACUUUUAUGGUUUUCGUUAUGUAUGUCUGCUAUCCGAUGAAGGCAAAAGGGGUGAAGAAGUAAACAUCGUCAACAAACCGGCAAAGAACUGAGCAGUCAGCUGAUCAAAUCAUUAAAUGAAGGCCGAACAAUGGCAAACGUGGCAAACAAGCCAAUAACCGGUUCAACAUAAAAGGAAAUGCGUGCGCCUUUCGUCCUGAAUGCGUAAUGGGCAACGGUUAGCCUAUGCAGGCAGCAGCAAAAAGCUCUACUUACUUCAUAAAAUGUAUAUAGGAAUGGUUGAGUUUAAUCAUAGGUUGCCAUUUGCUUUGCACGCGUACGUUCGUGAGACACUUUAUACGUUAAUAUUGAUUCUAUAUCAUGAAAUAGAAAAUAAAUAAUUUUAGUACAUCCAUAAAAUUAACUGGAAACUAAAUUGAGAGCUAAAGUUUUUGUUCCCAGUUUAAUAUUCAGAAAAGUGUUCAGUUAACAAUAAAGAUCGUCGUAGGGUAUAAAGAAGUAAGCAACUUUUUAUGCUAAGUAGAACAUAGAACAGAUCCUGGUGGUAAGCCAGUAAGCGGAUCCUUGAACCGAAUAUGUUGAAGCGAGCUCAUCCUCGUCUAUCCUCUUUUUGCAAUAUGGCUUCAGAAAAUUUGGUUACGAUAUCUCGCACAAGAACUGAUCAAUUCGCCUAUGUUGCUCGAACGUGGCCGUAAAUGGAGGAGUUGAGUAGAUUCGUGCCAACAUAACUGCAUACUCAAUUACAAUUUUCCUUACUAUUCCCAACAAAAAAAUGUUCCAAGAAUCGAAUACAAGCACAACAUUUUAUGUGCGUCUUCAUUGCAAUAGCUUUUAUUGUAUUGUAUGAUAUAUUCAUUUAACCUUUCUUUGUUUUUGUUGUUUUUUUUUUUUUGUAGGAAAUGAGCGCAAUUUGCAGUGAUGGCACGCUCCUGGCGGCUAAUUGGAAAAUGUUUGUCAUUCUUUUCGCAUAUGUGGCGGCUUCAUUUCAUAGUAUAGUACAGCUGUGUACACACAAAUACAUAUGCACGCCUGCAUACAUACGCACACACAUCUGUACACGUAAGUGCCUAAACUUUAUUGAGAAAAGUUGGGCUGAUUAAUUUGACUUCCUACGUUUACUGUUGUGACUCUUUAUUAUUGCUAGUAGAUACACACGCACACACACACACGCGUGUGCUUUUUUUUUCAAGAGACAAUUAAGUAUACAAUAACAAAGGAAGGAGUGUGAGUUAAUAUCUAAUGAAUUAAGUAGAUUUUGUUUUUGUAUUUUAAAGUUAUUUAUUUGCUCGUCAAUAAUUAGCUAAAUUUUCUCAAAUGCCUUCGACAAUUAGGUGAACGUAAAAGAGCAUUUUUAGUUGUUUAUUACUGAUUGAUUAUCAAAGAACUUGCUAAGAAUGCCACGAAUCCUUACGGGCCGUUUUUGACCAACUUUUCCUUUGCCUUUUCCACAAUCUCUUCCGCGUGUUCUUUUCAUGGUACUUCUUGGUUACAUUUUUACUUCCCUUUAUUCCUUCCCUUCCCAUUUAAAUAUAUUGGUUUACGAUGAUUGAGUUUGCAUUUCCUUGAAUAUGCCGAUAGCUACUUUUGUUGGAUUUACAUAUGUCUAGUUCCAACUUUAUACGUUUGGACCCUAAUCGGAUUUGAGUACGUAUACAUUUGUCGUAUAAAUCUGGAUAUGAAUUCAGGGUACUUAUCUAUGUAGGCUACUGGCAUUUGCCUAAAUUGAUUUCAUUACUCUUUUGGCUCUUCACAUACGUAAGUACACACACUACUGCAAAGUCUCCUUUGUAGUACAUAAUUUCUAUUUGAUAUGAAAAUAUGCCCAGAUGUAGGGCUCUUGACUCUUUCUGAAUGAAUUUGUGCAUGUUUUGUUUUUCUUUUAAUUUUGUUGUUUUUAUUUUUUUUCUUAGAGUUUAUGGGAAUACAUUUUUUGUUAUAAUUUUUGCAAUACACCCGUCCUCCGAUUCCUUUUUUUUUUUUGGUUGCUGAGACUGCUCAAUAACCACCUUAGUAAAGAUCAACUACCGAAACGGUGGGAAUUUUUUGUGUUUUUUUUUAUUGUGUUUUUGUACCUAUCCCCUCUCCCACUAAACCACUCUCUCACUUUGUCAACAGCAAAAAAAGUAACAGUGUAGUAAAACAAAAAAAUGCAUUAUAGUGGGAAUACCUCUACUGAAAAAUUUUCUCCUAGCCAUUAACGCACACCGAACGGCUGCAUUUGACGUUAAGCACUGCAACUACUUGCCGGUAGAGCUCACUGCUAUCGGUGAAAUGAAGGGAAGAAAAGGUGAAAGAGAUGCAAAAACAUAUGUUUAUUUUUUGCGACCAUUUGCGACAUCACAAAAUAGUAGAUAUAGGUCUGGGGGAGUAUACAACUUAUGAUUUGCCGACGUUUUAUAUGCAAAAUUUGGAAAAUGCACUUUCAAUCGCUCUUAGAUAUCACAGGUUGCGACAAAAGGACGUCAAUGUUAUUAAGUUAGAGAAAUGUGUCAUGGCAGCCUACGAAUAUCGUGAAAUCCCUGGUAACCAUAGCUGUAUAGUGGUCUGCGAAUAGUUAGCAGACGUUGGAAGCCAAAUAUGGCGAAUGCGGAGGGUAUGAGAGCAAUUCGAAGUCCGAUUCAUGCAGUUCUGCAAUUGUUUUCAUUGACUUGAGACCCGGUGUGUUGUCCUGAUGAAGCAAAACAAGCCAGCUCGUUCUUUUGAUAUCAUGACAUCACUUUUCGAUCAUUGAAAACGAUUUUGUGGAUUUUUGGAAAUUCUCUGGUCAUUUGCUCAUUUAGACGUCCACUGCGUUGUGCAUCAUCGGUGUCUCUACGACUACGUUUGAAUUUGUUCAAACCUGUCGGGGACCGAGCGAUAUUAGAAAAAACUUCUUCCGGUAUUUGGUAUUUCAUGGCCGGGGUCUCGAACCCAAGCACUACCGAAAGGUAGUCACGCACCAACUCAUUCGGCUACGGCGGCCCAGUUCAAAAACGGCGGAACACCUUAUGGUCCGAUGCAACCAAAAUUGUUUUAUUUUCCUCAAUAGACGCCGACAAUUUGUAUGAAGGCCAAAUAAUACUUAUUUUAAUCCAAAAUAUGCCACCAGCACAAUGAAGUACGGAGGUGUCAAAAUCUGCUUCUUCUACGAAGCUGCUGGUCCAAUAUACUAAAUAAAAAGAAUCUCGGAUACCAAGUGGUAGCUGAAGUUAAUGGAGUCCACUGCACCAUGAUCCAAUGAUCCAAAGGAUACCAGCGAUUGGCAAGAAAUUAGUUUGCUUCAAACGAGGCCCGUUCAGUUACCUGAACUCAAUCCUACUGAAUAGUGUUGGAGAGAUGUCAAAAAAGCUGUAGGCAAAAGGAAUUCCACAAAUAUCAAAAAGCUGCUAGAAAAAUAUAGAAGAACAUUCUCGUCGAGAGGUGUAGGCGCUCGGUGAACUCUCUGCCUCAUAGAUGCGCGGCAGUACUCGCCAAUAAGAGCCAUUCGACGAAACGGCUAUAUUUUUAGGUUUUAUUUUGUGCUACUUAUAUAAUAAAUAAGAUAUUUUAGGUUUUUAUUUCGAUGUAAUACGCCGACAACUGCUAUUUUUAUUCACAUUCAGAAGGUAUCUUUUCACACAUAAAUACAUAUUUAUUUUUAUU